GACGAACGCUGGCGGCGUGCCUAAUACAUGCAAGUCGAACGCUGAAGGAGGAGCUUGCUCUUCUGGAUGAGUUGCGAACGGGUGAGUAACGCGUAGGUAACCUGCCUGGUAGCGGGGGAUAACUAUUGGAAACGAUAGCUAAUACCGCAUAACAGUAGAUGUUGCAUGACAUUUGCUUAAAAGGUGCAAUUGCACCACUACCAGAUGGACCUGCGUUGUAUUAGCUAGUUGGUGGGGUAACGGCUCACCAAGGCGACGAUACAUAGCCGACCUGAGAGGGUGAUCGGCCACACUGGGACUGAGACACGGCCCAGACUCCUACGGGAGGCAGCAGUAGGGAAUCUUCGGCAAUGGACGGAAGUCUGACCGAGCAACGCCGCGUGAGUGAAGAAGGGUUUCGGAUCGUAAAGCUCUGUUGUAAGAGAAGAACGAGUGUGAGAGUGGAAAGUUCACACUGUGACGGUAUCUUACCAGAAAGGGACGGCUAACUACGUG
rnacentral:rRNA from 1 species